AAAAACAAAUAACCUCAUAAGUAGAGUAAAAGAACAAAAUGCCGUCAAGAUAUAUACAGAUGAAAAUUUACAAAAUAUUGACAACUCUGAAAUUGAAUUUACUGUUGAUGACCAGUUAUUUUUCGAAACUCUAUUCACAGAAAUACACGGUAAAACUAUUUCAUAUGCCUCUUAUAAAAAAAAAGGCGUGUAUAAAAAUUGAAGAUGAAAUUAUUUCAAAAUUAAAACAAUUAGAAGAAAAUGCUCUAACAGAAAAAAAUCUGGAAGAGAUUGAUCAGAAAAAAGCAGAACUUAAAAUGUAUAGACAAUAAUUUUAUAUUAUUAUGGAAUAGCACAGUCGCUUAAUGAGUGGUUAAAAACGAUCAAUAUUGAAGUAAAGGAGAAAAAAAAUCAUGCAAUACUACCUUUUAACAUAAGAAUCUUUUUUAAAUCAAAAAAAGGUUCAAAGGAAAUGUGCAAAAUAUUGAAUGAAAAAUAUGUUACAUUUGCUGCAAAGGAAAAAUGGGAGAACCAUCUUUAUAUGACUGUUAUUAACUGGAAAAAAAAUACACACUUCGUGUACAAAAUAGAGUAAAAGCACUAAGCUUUGCUGGUUCCAAUAUAGAAUUAUCCAUAGAAUUUUGGGAACUAAUUCACUACUUUACAAGAUGAAAAUAAAUAGUAACAACAUAUGUACAUUUUGUAAAGAAGGACCAGAGACAUAGAACAUUUAUUUUGAAGCUGUCCGAUGAUCGUCAGUCUCUGGUAUGCACUAAACAUCUGGAUUUUUGAAAUGACAAAUAUUAAACUGCCUUUGAAUAUUAUGAUUAUUUUAUUUGGUAUCUACGAAAAUGUUAAAUUGAAUUUUGUUAAAAAAAAGAUUAUUCUACAUUUACCGAACAAAACUACAAGAAGUUUUGCCAAAUUUAAAUGCUUUAAAAACUAUUUAAAGGAACACUUGAACUUAGAAAAAUACAUUUCACUUAAACACCUCUCUGUAGAGGAAUAUAACAAAUACUGGAGACCCUGGGCCCCUAUCAUAGAAUAAAUAGUAAAUGUUAAAAUUUGAUUUGAUUGAAACACCACUUAUGUAUAUUGCAAGAACACAUACGAUUUCAAUGUUAUAAAAUAUUUAUUUAUUUUCAACCUAUUAUUGCACCAAAUUGUUGUUUUAUUAUUUAAUACUUCUUUUGUGUGAAAAUGCCAUUCUGUAUACCUUUUUUCAUACAUGUUGUGCUAGUGUAUUUGUUACAAUAAAGAAAGUUCAUUAUAAAAAAAAAAUACUGUAAGCUACGGGUAUUCAAAUUCACAAGUCAAAAACAAACUGGCAUUGUCUUUGCAGUUAUGUAAAACAAACAUCAAAAUACAAAAUACAGAAAAGAAAACACCAAAUAGAAAAAAAGACAGACCAAGUGAACAACAGGAACAUUAUGUGGGAGAUAUCUGGUGCUCAUGGACGGUAGACAUAUUCUGAAUUAUAUAUGCAAACCGAAAUUUUGCUCGUGUAAUACAAACCCGUUAAUAUAUAUAAUUCGGUAAAAAGUUAAAUAACAAAAAUACCAGUCUCUCAAAAGUCCAAGACGGAAAAUCCGUAAGUUGAAUAAAUGCACCAUGGACAAAUUCCAAGAAAGAGGGAUUCUGAUAGGCAAUUGAAAAACUUAAGAUAUUAAUGUUAUGGUAAAAUAUCGAAAUGUAAAGGGAAUGAAAAUAAUAGUUGAAAAUAAAUCAGACUCGAACAAACCUGUUCAAAUUUCAUUUAUUUCACAUGCAGGUAUAUUAAUGAUGUUUUUUUCCAUUUACAACCAAAACAUUUCUUAUUAAUAUAUCCUCCAGAACGAAAAAUUUACGAAACACCGGCUUCUUCAGCAUCAUCGUUUAUACUUAUACAUCGAGAGGUCAUCUCACUACCAGAAAUCAUGACAAACGAAUCCAUUUCAAUUUGGAAAUUAUC
rnacentral:lncRNA from 1 species